AUUGAACGCUGGCGGCAUGCCUAAUACAUGCAAGUCGAACGAGUGGCGGACGGGUGAGUAAUGUAUGGGAAACUGCCCGAUGGAGGCGGAUAACUACUGUAAACGGUAGCUAAUAACGCAUACCACCGGUUCUGGCCAGAGGGGAUUAGCUAGUAGGUGGGGUAAUGGUUCACGUAGGCGACGAUACCUAGCUGGUCUGAGAGGAUGACCAGCCACACUGGGACUGAGACACGGUCCAGACUCCUACGGGAGGCAGCAGUGGGGAAUAUUGGACAAUGGGCGAAAUCCGGAUGCAGCCAUGCCGCGUGUAUGAAGAAGGCCUUCGGGUUGUAAAGUACUGUCAGCAGGGAGGCGUUACCCGCAGAAGAAGCACCGGCUAACUCCGUGCCAGCAGCCGCGGUAAUAC
rnacentral:rRNA from 1 species